rnacentral:rRNA from 1 species
UACGUAGGGUGCAAGCGUUGUCCGGAAUUAUUGGGCGUAAAGGGCGCGCAGGCGGCUGCUCAAGUCAGGCGUGAAAGGCCUGGGCUCAACCCGGGAAUUGCGCUUGAGACUGGGCUGGCUUGAGUGCGGGAGAGGAUGGUGGAAUUCCCAGUGUAGAGGUGAAAUUCGUAGAUAUUGGGAAGAACACCGGUGGCGAAGGCGGCCUACUGGGCUGCACCUGACGCUGAGCCGCGAAAGCCAGGGGAGCGAACGGG